rnacentral:rRNA from 1 species
GAUGAACGCUGGCGGCGUGCCUAAUACAUGCAAGUCGAGCGAACAGACGAGGGGCUUGCUCCUCUGACUUUAGCGGCGGACGGGUGAGUAAAACGUGGAUACCCUACCUAUAAGACUGGGAUAACUUCGGGAAACCGGAGCUAAUACCGGAUAAUAUAUUGAGCCGAAUGGUUCAUUAGUGAAAGACGGUUUUGCUGUCACUUAUAAAUGGAUCCGCGCCGCAUUAGCUAGUUGGUAAGGUAACGGCUUACCAAGGCGACGAUGCGUAGCCGACCUGAGAGGGUGAUCGGCCACACUGGAACUGAGACACGGUCCAGACUCCUACGGGAGGCAGCAGUAGGGAAUCUUCCGCAAUGGGCGAAAGCCUGACGGAGCAACGCCGCGUGAGUGAUGAAGGUCUUCGGAUCGUAAAACUCUGUUAUUAGGGAAGAACAAAUGUGUAAGUAACUAUGCACGUCUUGACGGUACCUAAUCAGAAAGCCACGGCUAACUACGUG